UAGGGAAUCUUCCGCAAUGGACGAAAGUCUGACGGAGCAACGCCGCGUGAACGAUGAAGGCUUUCGGGUCGUAAAGUUCUGUUGUUAGGGAAGAACAAGUACCAGAGUAACUGCUGGUACCUUGACGGUACCUAACCAGAAAGCCACGGCUAACUACGUGCCAGCAGCCGCGGUAAUACGUAGGUGGCAAGCGUUAUCCGGAAUUAUUGGGCGUAAAGCGCUCGCAGGCGGUCCUUUAAGUCUGAUGUGAAAUCUUGCGGCUCAACCGCAAGCGGUCAUUGGAAACUGGGGGACCUGAGUGCAGAAGAGGAGAGUGGAAUUCCACGUGUAGCGGUGAAAUGCGUAGAGAUGUGGAGGAACACCAGUGGCGAAGGCGACUCUCUGGUCUGUAACUGACGCUGAGGAGCGAAAGCGUGGGGAGCGAACAGGAUUAGAUACCCUGGUAGUCCACGCCGUAAACGAUGAGUGCUAAGUGUUAGAGGGUUUCCGCCCUUUAGUGCUGCAGCAAACGCAUUAAGCACUCCGCCUGGGGAGUACGGUCGCAAGACUGAAACUCAAAGGAAUUGACGGGGGCCCGCACAAGCGGUGGAGCAUGUGGAUUAAUUCGAAGCAACGCGAAGAACCUUACCAGGUCUUGACAUCCUUAUGCCCUCCCUAGAGAUAGGGAUUUCCCUUCGGGGA
rnacentral:rRNA from 1 species